GGUGAAAUAUAUAUUUGGCCUGACUCGAAAUCAGGCGUAGUGGCAACACUACCGUGGGUUCGAAUCCCACCCUCUCCGCCA
rnacentral:tRNA from 1 species